GUGAAACACGAUGAGGGCUCUGGGUCCACCUCCCACCCGUGUCUAUCGUACCUUGUUGCUUCGGCGGGCCCGCCGUUUCGACGGCCGCCGGGGAGGCCUUGCGCCCCCGGGCCCGCGCCCGCCGAAGACCCCAACAUGAACGCUGUUCUGAAAGUAUGCAGUCUGAGUUGAUUAUCGUAAUCAGUUAAAACUUUCAACAACGGAUCUCUUGGUUCCGGCAUCGAUGAAGAACGCAGCGAAAUGCGAUAAGUAAUGUGAAUUGCAGAAUUCAGUGAAUCAUCGAGUCUUUGAACGCACAUUGCGCCCCCUGGUAUUCCGGGGGGCAUGCCUGUCCGAGCGUCAUUGCUGCCCUCAAGCACGGCUUGUGUGUUGGGCCCCCGUCCCCCUCUCCCGGGGGACGGGCCCGAAAGGCAGCGGCGGCACCGCGUCCGGUCCUCGAGCGUAUGGGGCUUUGUCACCUGCUCUGUAGGCCCGGCCGGCGCCAGCCGACACCCAACUUUAUUUUUCUAAGGUUGACCUCGGAUCAGGUAGGGAUACCCGCUGAACUUAAGCAUAUCAAA
rnacentral:rRNA from 1 species